rnacentral:miRNA from 1 species
AUGCGGAACCGAGCAGCAACUU